CUUUGGCUGGCUUCACUGGCUGACGUUUCUGUGACUUGUGGAUGGUCUUCGGCAGGUCCCACAAAUCAUGAAUCCCCGUGGGACCAGACCCCAUGGUGCUGGAGUUGGGGUCUUAGGUCUGAGGGCUGUGGGGCUCUGGCCCUUUCCUGGCUCCCUUUCGCUUUCUGGCCUCAGGUGAUUGUUUUGCUCCCCCCUGUGCCGUGUCCCAGCCACCAUCUCAGCAGAGCACCGAAGCAAAGGGCUCUUCUGAUCCCGAGCUGGGGCCACUAAAACCUCGAGCCCAAUGCACCGUUUUCAGCCUUGAUAGGGUAUAAAAUGGACAGAAAGACGCUGUUAAGGUCGGCUGUUGAUUUGGCUGUCUUCUGCCCACCAUGGACUCUUCUGUGUGAUGCCCCUCUGCCAUGUUCCACCUUGCCCUGGAGCCAGCCACUUAUGGACUGAAACCUCUACAAAGUGUGAGUGAUUCCUUUGAGACGCAAAUUAAAAAAGAGACAACAGGAAAGGUGAUCCGCUCAGAGCUUUCACCUGGUGCCUGGGCUUCCUUUGGUGUUACAUGUAGUCACCGAGUUCGAGGAGUUGAAUGGAAAUUUGGAUCCAGAGGAGAAAAGGAUUCAGAAGGGAACUCACUAGGCGGGAGUCCCUGGGGGUGA
rnacentral:lncRNA from 1 species